UAUUUAUAUGGCAUGUGGUGUCAAUAUUCACCGAAACUGUUUGUCAUGGUUUUCUUUCAGUAUGGCAUAUUAUUUAACAAAUAAAAUUGAGCUUCAAGAGAAAGGCAAUGAUGGAUAUAGCUGUUUCAUACUGCUCUUACCCACAGAAUCCAUUGAUAUUCACAUUGUUCAAAUUACAUGCAGUAUAAAAUACACGGAGUUAACAUAAACUAUCCUUAUUUGAUUGGAAACAUAACAAGGCAUUGAAGUAAAUUUGAGCAACCAGCUUAACAACCAUGUCAAAGUACAGACGCGCUGGGUCCCGGAUUGUCAGAUCAUCCAUGAAACAUGUGGGAUUUCUUCUAUAUGAAGACAAGGUUCGCUUGAGGAAAAAGAUUUAGAUGCCAGUCACUUAGUACAUGAGUGAUUCCUGAGGUAGCUGUGUGAAAUAAUUGCUGAAAAUAAUUCAGCACAUGUGAAGCCACCACGACACUUACUGAUACAGAAAUAUAAAGGUCAAUAUGCAUCAGUUAUAACAGUUGAAAAUAACAAAUACAUCAGGAGCUUCAGUAAUGGUUGGUGGCCACGGCGCUGUGAUGCACCAACCACAAGGACUGUCUCUCCUUGAAGCAAAACUACUUCUCCACUUGCAUCCUCUGAAAUUAUAUGGACAAUGUGCAUCAAGAGGCAGUGUAAGGGCGGCUUGGGGGUACUGGUGGCGGACGUUCCUGAAAACCAACAUAUUGCAGG